rnacentral:rRNA from 1 species
UACGUAGGGGGCAAGCGUUAUCCGGAUUUACUGGGUGUAAAGGGAGCGUAGACGGCUGUGCAAGCCAGAUGUGAAAGCCCGGGGCUCAACCCCGGGACUGCAUUUGGAACUGUGUGGCUGGAGUGUCGGAGAGGCAGGCGGAAUUCCUAGUGUAGCGGUGAAAUGCGUAGAUAUCAGGAGGAACACCAGUGGCGAAGGCGGCUUACUGGACUGUAACUGACGUUGAGGCUCGAAAGUGUGGGUAUCAAACAGG